rnacentral:rRNA from 1 species
AACGCGAAGAACCUUACCAGGUCUUGACAUCCCCCUGAAAGCGGUAGAGAUAUCGCCGGCCUUCGGGACAGGGGAGACAGGUGGUGCAUGGUUGUCGUCAGCUCGUGUCGUGAGAUGUUGGGUUAAGUCCCGCAACGAGCGCAACCCUUGAGCUUAGUUGCCAGCACGUCGUGGUGGGCACUCUAGGCUGACUGCCGGUGACAAACCGGAGGAAGGCGGGGAUGACGUCAAAUCAUCAUGCCCCUUAUGACCUGGGCUACACACGUACUACAAUGGCCGGUACAACGGGUCGCGAAGCCGCGAGGCGGAGCCAAUCCUAUCAAAGCCGGUCUCAGUUCGGAUUGCAGGCUGCAACUCGCCUGCAUGAAGUCGGAAUUGCUAGUAAUCGCGGAUCAGCAUGCCGCGGUGAAUACGUUCCCGGGCCUUGUACACACCGCACUACUA